AUUGAACGCUGGCGGCAUGCUUUAUACAUGCAAGUCGAACGGUAACGCGGGGGCAACCCUGGCGACGAGUGGCGAACGGGUGAGUAAUACAUCGGAACGUGCCCAGUAGUGGGGGAUAGCCCGGCGAAAGCCGGAUUAAUACCGCAUACGCCCUAUGGGGGAAAGCGGGGGAUCGCAAGACCUCGCGCUAUUGGAGCGGCCGAUGGCAGAUUAGCUUGUUGGUGAGGUAAAGGCUUACCAAGGCGACGAUCUGUAGCUGGUCUGAGAGGACGACCAGCCACACUGGGACUGAGACACGGCCCAGACUCCUACGGGAGGCAGCAGUGGGGAAUUUUGGACAAUGGGCGCAAGCCUGAUCCAGCAAUGCCGCGUGCAGGAAGAAGGCCUUCGGGUUGUAAACUGCUUUUGUCAGGGAAGAAAUCCUCUAGGUUAAUACCCUUGGGGGGAUGACGGUACCUGAAGAAUAAGCACCGGCUAACUACGUGCCAGCAGCCGCAGUAAAAC
rnacentral:rRNA from 1 species